rnacentral:rRNA from 1 species
GUGAACGCUGGCGGUAGGCCUCACACCUGCCAGUCGAACGGCAGCACCGUAAGAGCUUGCUCUUACGGGUGGCGAGUGGCGGACGGGUGAGGAAUACAUCGGAAUCUACUUUUUCGUGGGGGAUAACGUAGGGAAACUUACGCUAAUACCGCAUACGACCUACGGGUGAAAGCAGGGGAUCUUCGGACCUUGCGCGAUUGAAUGAGCCGAUGUCGGAUUAGCUAGUUGGCGGGGUAAAGGCCCACCAAGGCGACGAUCCGUAGCUGGUCUGAGAGGAUGAUCAGCCACACUGGAACUGAGACACGGUCCAGACUCCUACGGGAGGCAGCAGUGGGGAAUAUUGGACAAUGGGCGCAAGCCUGAUCCAGCCAUACCGCGUGGGUGAAGAAGGCCUUCGGGUUGUAAAGCCCUUUUGUUGGGAAAGAAAAGCAGCAGGUUAAUACCCCGCUGUUCUGACGGUACCCAAAGAAUAAGCACCGGCUAACUUCGUG